GAUAAACGCUAGCGGCAGGCUUAACACAUGCAAGUCGAGGGGCAGCAUAGAUUGUAGCAAUACAAUUGGUGGCGACCGGCGCACGGGUGCGUAACGCGUAUGCAACCUACCCGUCACAGGGGGAUAAUCCGGAGAAAUCUGGUCUAAUACCCCAUAACAUAUGGAUCGGCAUCGGUUCAUGUUGAAAUUUUCGGAGGUGACGGAUGGGCAUGCGUAGCAUUAGCUUGUUGGUGAGGUAACGGCUCACCACGGCGACGAUGCUUAGGGGGACCGAGAGGUUUUCCCCCCACACUGGUACUGAGACACGGACCAGACUCCUACGGGAGGCAGCAGUGAGGAAUAUUGGUCAAUGUGCGCAAGCCUGAACCAGCCAUGCCGCGUGCAGGAUGACGGCUCUAUGAGUUGUAAACUGCUUUUGUACGAGGGUAAAGUGGGUUACGUGUAACCUUUUGAAAGUAUCGUACGAAUAAGGAUCGGCUAACUCCGUGCCAGCCGCCGCCGUAA
rnacentral:rRNA from 1 species